UCAAGCAUCUCAAAAAGCCAGCAAUUACCUUAUUUACUUUACUCAGGUAGUACUGUAAAAGUAUUUUCUUGACCACAAGUUCAAGUUUUAUGCUCUAAUAAUACGACAGAGAAGGAACCCGAGAGAACCAAUGACAAUUUUGUCAUGUAGUUGACAUUCAUAUCGUCAUGUUAUCAUUUCCAACUCUGUGAUUUUAAUAUUUAUAUACAUUCUUAUAUACCAGCAACCUUAUAAAUUGGCUAGCUAUUUCAACCUAACUUUACUGUAAAAGUAUUUUCUUGACCACAAGUUCAAGUUUUAUGCUCUAAUAAUACGACAGAGAAAGAAACCGAGAGAACCAAUGACAAUUUUGUCAUGUAGUUGACAUUCAUAUCGUCAUGUUAUCAUUUCCAACUCUGUGAUUUUAAUAUUUAUAUACAUUCUUAUAUACCAGCAACCUUAUAAAUUGGCUAGCUAUUUCAACCGAACUUUCUAGCCUAUACACAUUCAGCUUCUAAAAUGUGCAGAGGUACCCAACAAGCUACUGGGUUCUGUUUCAAGGAUGAAGUUUCAGUUAAUGUAAACAAUACUGCUUCAUGCUGGAUUUCUUGUGAGCUUUGUGGCAUGAGGGCUUCAUUGUAUUGCCAAGCUGAUGAUGCAUAUCUAUGUAGAAACUGUGACAAAUGGGUGCAUGAAGCUAAUUUCUUAGCACGAAGACAUGUUAGAUGUUUUCUCUGCAACACAUGUCAAAGCCUCACGCAACGAUACCUCAUUGGCGUUUCGCUUCAAGUUUUGCUUCCAACAAUGAUGGUUUUCUUCUGAAUUUGCUGGCUGCUGUUCUCUUUUAGCUUGUAGGCUGUUCUUUGCUGCCAUUCUCUUUGUGCGAAGGGGUGUCAUCAUUGGUCACAUUCCAGGAAAUGUUCUGCAGUGCUAAUUCAAGGGUGGUAUAUAGUUGUGGCUCCAGCAAAUAUUCUUUAUGAAAGGGCAGGUUAAGAAUCUGCUUCUGUGGUUUGUUCCUGGUGGCUGGGUUAAUGCCUUUCUGUUUCAGGUGUGUGCAGCUUGCUGCUUGAUACUGUUGCUGGGCUUUGAUUGCUAUCUCUGGUCUCCUGCCAUGGCUGAUUGAGUUGUGUCAUGCUUAUUUCAAUAUCAGAUUGUAUUUUCUAGUAUCCGUCUGUUUUUCAGGCAGUUAUUGGUUUUAGUUUAUUUUAAGAAGGGGUUUGAAAGAUUUCUGCUAUCCUUACGAGAUGAGUUUGGGUUGUAUUUUUGUGCCCCCUUUUUUAGGGUGUUUUAAUGUUGAUAUUUACUUAAAAAAAAAAAACUUAAUUUACUCAAAUUUCUCCCUUCAGCAUCA